rnacentral:tRNA from 1 species
GACAGAUUAGCUCAGUUGGUUAAAGCAUGGUGCUAACAAUGCCAAGGUUGUGGGUUUGAUCCCUGCACUGGCCA